rnacentral:rRNA from 1 species
GAUGAACGCUGACAGAAUGCUUAACACAUGCAAGUCGAUGGGGAAGUGGUGCUUGCACCAUGGCAACCAUGGCGGACGGGUGAGUAACGCGUAAGGGACUUACCUGCAGGACUGGGAUAACAGGGGGAAACUCCUGACAAGACCGGAUAAUGUCAUGGAGCUGCAUGGCUUUAUGAUGAAAGGAGACGCCUGCGGAGAGCCUUGCGUCCUAUUAGCUGGUUGGUGAGGUAAUGGCUCACCAAGGCGAAGAUAGGUAGCCGGCCUGAGAGGGUGGACGGCCACAAGGGGACUGAGAUACGGCCCUUACUCCUACGGGAGGCAGCAGUGGGGAAUAUUGGACAAUGGGGGCAACCCUGAUCCAGCAAUUCUGUGUGCACGAAGAAGGUUUUCGGAGUGUAAAGUGCUUUCAGCAGGGAAGAAGUAAGUGACGGUACCUGCAGAAGAAGCGACGGCUAAAUACGUG